rnacentral:rRNA from 1 species
AUUGAACGCUGGCGGCAUGCCUUACACAUGCAAGUCGAACGGUAACAGGUCUUCGGAUGCUGACGAGUGGCGAACGGGUGAGUAAUACAUCGGAACGUGCCCGAGAGUGGGGGAUAACGAAGCGAAAGCUUUGCUAAUACCGCAUACGAACUCAGGAUGAAAGCAGGGGACCGCAAGGGCUUGCGCCCACAGAGCGGCCGAUGGCAGAUUAGGUAGUUGGUGGGAUAAAAGCGUACCAAGCCGACGAUCUGUAGCUGGUCUGGGAGGGCGACCAGCCACAAUGGGACUGGGGCACGCCCCAGACUCCUACGGGAGGCAGCAGUGGGGAAUUUUGGUCAAUGGGCGCAAGCCUGAUCCAGCCAUGCCGCGUGCAGGAUGAAGGCCUUCGGGUUGUAAACUGCUUUUGUACGGAACGAAAAGACUCUGGUUAAUACCUGGGGUCCAUGACGGUACCGUAAGAAUAAGCACCGGCUAACUACGUGCCAGCCGCCGCGGUAAGAC